rnacentral:rRNA from 1 species
CAGCCGCCGCGGUAAUACGUAGGGGGCGAGCGUUGUCCGGAAUUACUGGGCGUAAAGGGCGUGUAGGCGGCCUGUUAAGUCAGGGGUGAAAGACCGGGGCUCAACCCCGGGGGUGCCUCUGAAACUGGCGGGCUUGAGUGCUCUAGAGGGCAGUGGAAUUCCCGGUGUAGCAGUGAAAUGCGUAGAGAUCGGGAGGAACGCCAGUGGCGAAGGCGGCUGCCUGGGGAGUCACUGACGCUGAGGCGCGAAAGCUAGGGGAGCAAACAGGAUUAGAUACCCUGGUAGUCCUAGCCGUAAACGAUGAGCGCUAUGUGUGAGGGGUAUCGACCCCCCUCGUGCAGUAGCUAACGCAUUAAGCGCUCCGCCUGGGGAGUACGGCCGCAAGGUUGAAACUUAAAGGAAUUGGCGGG